ensembl:ncRNA C40C9.7 ncRNA
AAAAGGGACGCUCAUUCAUUAUGUGUCCCCCCUUAUGCCAAUUCGGGAAGCCCGUCUUCUUUUUCCCCCUGCGUUGAAAUCCCCCGUGGGGAUACAUUUUAUCGCCUACUAACUGCAUUGUCAAGUGAGAAAAGAGUGAUUCCAAGUUUCUCUUUCUCCCACUUCUCUCAUGUCCCCCUCCGUCUUGUUCUUCUCUGAAACAAUUGUCACCAUCUUAAUCACAUUGAAGCAGAGGCAGGUCUUUCAGUCUGGAGGGACUCGAGAGGGGGGGGGGGGUACAUUAGUAGAAACACAUUGCCUACAAAAGCUUAUUAGGUGCUUGCCACCAGAUUUGCCCA